UUCUGCUGUGAGGUUGAAGGAGGUGGGGGGUGUUGCUGUAUUGGCAUUGGCAUGAUGGACCUUAGAGGUAAAAUUCUUACGCUCUUGUUGAUCAAGUUUACCACCAGCGGAAUUCCUUUUGUGUAACUUACGACAUACGUUAAUGGUGUGACCGUUCCAGCCACAAUAAUCACAUUUAAGAUGUGCUCGGCAAGUCUCUAAGGUGUGC
rnacentral:lncRNA from 1 species